rnacentral:rRNA from 1 species
GGCAAGCGGAUCUCUUAAAGCUGUUCUCAGUUCGGACUGCAGUCUGCAACUCGACUGCACGAAGCUGGGAUCGCUAGUAAUCGCGGAUCAGCACGCCGCGGUGAAUACGUUCCCGGGCCUUGUACACACCGCCCGUCACACCAUGGAAGUCUGCAAUGCCCGAAGCCGGUGGCCUAACCACUUAUGUGGAAGGAGCCGUCUAAGGCAGGGCAGAUGACUGGGGUGAAGUCGUAACAAGGUAAC